UUAGUACCAACUAUACUAAUUAUUUACCUCUUCUGUCUUGAUUUCAUUAAUUUAUAGUCUUUCUAAGAUAGUAGAAGAGUCUUUACAACCUAGAACGUAAAAUUACUAACUAACCUUCAACCUAUUAAUUAUUAAGAAAAAAAAAUAACCUAAGAAGCUUUUAUAAAAGCCAUGUUUAGAUACAUCAAAUUAUAAUUAAACUAAGAUAAUUAGAUAUUAAUUAUAAAUUCAAUUUUGAAUAUAAUUUCACUUUAUAGUCGUAUUAUAUCACGACAAUGUGAUUUGUAUGCUAUAAGUUGAAGGCUCCUAAUAAAGUCUUGUUGAAAGAUUGUUCUAAUAAUAAAGUUGGAAGCAUUAAUGUCAAGCAUACAAGGAAGGUUGAGAUCAUAUGGUUGCAAUAUUGAAGUAAUAAUGAGUGCUUCCUUCAACAUAUCAAAGGCACUUUUCUACUGUAGUUUCCAUUCAAGUGAGGCACCUUUUUCCAAUAGAUUUGUUAAUGAAGCAGCAAUGUGUUCAAAUCACCAAACUUAAUGGUGAUAAUAUCGAGUUGUCAUAGACAUAUAUAUUUAUUCUAAUAGUUACUUAUAUGAUUAAGUAGAAAUAGAUAAAUAUAGAUUAGUUUCAUAAAGUCUUCUAGAAAAGCCUCUUAGAAGUUUUAUAGGCACAAUUUUAACUUUAGAUGUAUUUGUAGGAUAGAAACUUGGCCAAUAAAUUAACUUCAUGUUGGUGGCUUGUGGAAUAAGUUAACUCUAUGUAGUAGCUUGUGAAACAAGCUAACUAUAUGGCACAUAGUUUGACAAGAGUACUUACAUAUUAUUUUUGUGUUAUUUUAGAAGUCAUUGGAUUAUUCUACUUCUAUAGUUAUCUUUUGAAGGUUGUAGAUUAUCCACCUUUAAACAAAAAAUCUUAUUUUUAAUAUUAAUCUUUUUCUUUAAGAGUGUGGAUUUUUCUUCUUUGUAAUAUUUAUUAUUAGAGGUUGUGGAUUACCUCUUCUUAUUAAUUUUUUUGGAUUUAUUUGAAUUAUCUAUGAAAAGAAAGAUUAUGGAUGCUAUUCCUAGCAGAAGUGAGAAUAGAUUUGUGUCUAUUGCAGAUCUUCAUAAGUUUGUCAAGACUCUUAAGGCAGAAAUUUCACACAUCACCAGCAUCAACCAUGGGAUCAUUACUUCUUUACCUAUGGAGGUAGCAAAGACAUGAACUAAAAGAUGAUGCAUAAACUAAUGAAAUCCAUGAUAGAGAAAGAGUGAAAAAAUAGAAAUAAAAAAGUACAUAUAUUAAAAGAAAUUGGAAAGACUUAUUGCCAAAAGACAAGAAAAUUUAAGAUUCUUGAAACUAGACUAAAAACAAGAAUGGAAUUGACAAGAGUGAAGAGGGCUUCACUCUUAUGUCUAUGUAUACCAUCUAACUAGGAUCUACGUAGGAAUGUUCUAUAGGACCUCUAAUGUGUGUUGACUUUAUAAGAGACAUGGCUUGACUUAUAAGGUAAAUUUUUCUAUGUGUAAGCCAUAUAGUUUGCUUGGCCAUCAAGCUAACAACAUGAGUGGCACAUGGUCAACUUAUUGACCAUCUUUCUAAUCCAAAAAAUCAAUUAAAGACACCUAUAAAUUCAACACAAUGUCUAUAAAGCUUCUAGGAAGCUUUCAUAGAAGAUAUUAUAGAAUUAACUUACUUUUACAAAACAUUUAUUAUUUCUAUCUAUUUAUAUAGGUAAUUACUAACUUAUGUGUGUAUGUCUAUGACAUUAUCAUCAUUUCUAGGAAAAAAAUCUAUGAGGAGUGGUCAUCAUAUGUUGAGAAAAUCUAUGAUGCGACAAAUUAUAUUUGUCACAUAUUCAAAUCUUUGUUUUCUUCAAAGAUGGUUGAUAGGGCCUUUCAAUCAUUGAUAGUAUUUCAUACCAUGGCUAAAAGACCACCAUGUUAUCUGAUUGUGUUCCAAAUAUUUUAUUUAAUAACUUCUUUCAAAUAAAAUAUUUGGAACACCGUCAAGAAUUGUUCCUACCUCUAAUAAAAUUAUCAAACAUUAGGAGUCUCUUUGAAGGUCUUGAUAUCAAAUGUUGUCAAGGUAGAGUGAGUUUGCCUCAAAAAAGUGCUAGGCUUUUGGUUAACACUAAAUACUCAAUCAAGUAUUUAAGAUAUAAAAAUAUCAAGUUAAUACAUAUAAUAUUUUUUUUUUUGGGCAAUUACAUCAAUACAUAAAUCCAAGUACCAAAAAAACACCCAAAUGUAUGAUAAAGUAUCUUAAAACUUUAUAUAUCCUUAUGAAAAAUAUUUUUUGAACUUCAACAGCUCAUAUCUCACGACUAGACCGUCGAAACAAUACUAAAUUUUAUCUGAAGUAUUGAUAUACUUUCAAAAAUUACCACAAAAAAGUUCAACUGCAAAUUUGUUAUGGAUCACCAAAAUCCUAACAAAAGCUUUAAAUCCUAGCUUACAUACACCCACAUGUUAUUUUCUUCAUAUCUCACAAAAUAAGUACUCAAAUACCAUGAAACUUUGAUCUAUUGCUUUUUAACCUAAUAACUCACACUCACAAAAAAUUUGAGCUAAAAAUUCGUCUAAAAAUUCAACAUAUGGUUUUAACCAUUACUAUUAAUAAAAUAACUCAUUUAUUGCCUUUGAAUUACAAGUACUAUCUUUAAUACCUUAUAACUCCUUCAUUCAGACUUGAAAUUCAUCAAAAAAUAUAUGUUAAGUAUAGCAAAGAAAAUAUUCUCUCCAACUUCAGUCGCCGAUCUUUCAUUGCUCUCUGUAAAUAUAUGUUACACUUCAAGAAUGAGAGUAGAUACAAAUUUGAUACCUUAACUUUGAACACCUAUAUCUCCUUUACAAAAACUUAAAAUCAAACAAAUUCUUCAUCAAAUUUAUACCUAAAAUCCUAAAUUUUUUGAUUCUAGCAUCCAAAGUUCGAAUGACUUCAAAAGAAAACCCCAAUCUCUAAUAAGGCCUUCGAUAGCCUCCUUGAAGCCCAUUGGGCAUGGCUUUCUACUAAUAGGAAUGAAGAUUCCUAUUCCUUGUCCAAAAAAAGAAAAGUACCUUUGAUAGGUUGAAGGAAGCACUCAUUAUUACUUCAAUAUUGCAACCAUAUGAUCUCAACCUUCCUUGUAUGCUUGACAUUAAUGCUUCCAACUUUAUUAUUAGAACAAUCUUUCAACAAGACUUUAUUAGGAGCCUUCAACUUAUAGCAUACAAAUCACAUUGUCGUGAUAUAAUACGACUAUAAAGUGAAAUUAUAUUCAAAAUUGAAUUUAUAAUUAAUAUCUAAUUAUCUUAGUUUAAUUAUAAUUUGAGGUAUCUAAACAUGGUUUUUAUAAAAGCUUCUUAGGUUAUUUUUUUUUCUUAAUAAUUAAUAGGUUGAAGGUUAGUUAGUAAUUUUACGUUCUAGGUUGUAAAGACUCUUCUACUAUCUUAGAAAGACUAUAAAUUAAUGAAAUCAAGACAGAAGAGGUAAAUAAUUAGUAUAGUUGGUACUAAGAUUAGGUUGAGAAUAGGAUUGGAUUAAAAUAUCCUUGGAAUAGGAUAGAUUGAUACCCAAGGAUCGACUAUUUGUGAGAUAGGAUCGAAAUCAGACCUCUGGCCACUAAAGCGACGGCCUAGGACAAAAUAGGGUUUCAUUUGAAGAUCGAAGGUUAGAAUUUGAAAGCUAGCUUGAAGUUCUUUCUAGAGACAUAAGAAUUGUUUGGAGACGGUUUUGGAAGACUUAGCAAUUGUUGUUCAAAAUCAGGGUUUGUAUCAAUGAUUUGGAUUUUAUAUAAUAUAAUUAGGGCUAGCAAUUUUGGCUAGUUCGUACAAUUGGCAUGACAUCUACGGUUGAAAAUUUGACAUUUUUUGGAUUAUUAGGUGUGGUAAUUGUAUUCAAAAUUUUGUGAUAAUCUAAUGGUGUGGUUUAGAGAUAUCUAGUUUUUAGCACAAGAGAAUUUUAGAAGGUAGUAGUUUGAGGUUGGGUAGGGUUUCUAUGAUAUUUGAAGAUCUAUCAGUGGGAUUAAGGUAAAAAUUGGCAUGAUGUUGGAAGAAUUAAAGAUCAAGCUACACACCAAUUUUGAAACAAAAUUAAUGGUUGGAGAAGAAAAAAUCAUUGCUGAAACUUUUGCUUUACUUUUCAAGUUGACUGUCGAGUGACAUUGGUGCAAUUUUUGGAGGUUUUCUUAGAAUCCGUAAGUUGGAUUGGGCUAAAUAUUCUUGAGCAUUUAAAAGACUUGCAUUGGCAAUUGUACGAAAAAUUCUACAUCAAGUGGACGGUCGGAUUGGAAGUUACAGCUUGUUAAAGCUCAUUGAUUAGGAUUGGGGUUUACAAGAAAAAUCUAAAUUGCUUAAAUAUGAAAGUAAAAAGGUAAUUGGAAUUUAUGUAUGGUUAAGACUACUAAGAAGAGUGUUUUAAGCACUUUUGAAUUGAAAUUCAGAUUAUAUUCUUCUUGCAUAGAUGAAAUGUAUUAGGAUUUUUUGGCACUUCUGAAACUUAAUCUCACCUUCCAUAGCUAGGUGCUCGAUGCGUUCCUGAGCAAAACAACACGUAAUAUGACAAAAGUGGUGAACCCAACAUGAAAGUAUGGGAUGGAAGGUAUUGGAUUAUAUUUGUGGAUAUUUAGAAUUGAUGGCGCAAGAAGGCAAGAAGGUUGAAUUUGGACUUUUUGAUGGAGCUUUGGAUGGAGCUUCAAGUGGAUCUUUAAAUGCAACUUCAAGUGGAAUUUCUACUGGUGAACAAGGUAUGUACCUUGAUUCAAAUACUACAAAAAUGUUUCAAGCAUUUACAUUAUUUAUGCAACAACAACAAGGCAAUGAUCGCAAAGAGGCUUUGGCAACCAAAGCAUUACCAGCAGUGGUUAACAUGGUUGACCAAUUUGAUGGGAGGGAUAUUUCCAAAUAUUUAAGAUGUUAUGUGGAUGAAAUGGAAUUGAAUCGCAUUUCUGAAAAGGAGAUGAUUCAAUUAUUUGAGCUUGUUAAGGUACCAAAGAUAAGAGAGCGUAUAAGGUCUAUUAUGGGACAAUUUGGAAGUUUAUGGGAGGUAUUUUCACAUGUAUUGAAGGAUGAGUAUUUUUUAGAGGAUAUUGAUUGAGUUACCAAGAAAUCAUUCUUGGAAUGGAUUGAAUAACCUAACAAAAAUUUGCAAGCUACAAAAUUAUUAAAAGAAUUUGAAAGGUAAUUUUUUUGAUUACCAAAAAUGAAAAAAUUAACAUUGGAAUCAAACAAGGUUGAAUUGUUUCUUCAAGCUGCUAAUGAAGAAUUAUAAGAGAAGUUAGAGGUUCUUCUUGAAGAUAAAGAAGAAGAGGAAGGAUUGACAACAAAGUGGAGAGCUGUUGAAGACGUUGUCAUAUUGUAAAUGCUUACAGUAUGUAAAAAUUAGUUAAAAUAUAUUAUAUGUUAAUAAAUCUAAAUGUGUGUUAGAGUGGCUAGUAGAUUAAAUUAAAAGGAGUUGAUAUAAGAAACUUUAUUUUGUUUCUUUACUUGUUUUGAUUUUGACAUUAAAAAAUAAUAUAGGACCUAAAUGUUUAGUAUGAAGCCUUGAAAGAAGGUGGAAGCCUAAGGAGGAAAUCUUAACUAAUAGGAGGCUUAUUGGGAGGGAUGAAAGCAAGGCAUGGUUGGAUGAAGGCAAGGAAUGGGAAACUUCAUUCCUAUUGGUCGAAGGCCAUGCCCAAUGGGCUUCAAGGAGGCUGUCCGAGGCCUUAUUAGGGAUUAGGGUUUUUCUUUCGAAGUCAUUUGGAGAUUAGAAGCUAAGGUUGUAAAGUUUAGGAUUUGGGGUACAAUUUUUGUGCAAAAAUUAGAAGAUUUCGAGUUAGAAUGAAGAAGUUAUAGUUGUUUGAAGUUAAGGUGUUAAUUUAAGACAUAUUAUUACUCUUUUGACAAUAUGAGGAGUUUUAUAGCAGCUUUUGAAGAUCGAAAGGUUUGACUGGAAUAGCGAUUUUAAGGCCUAUAUCUUUCACAAAAAAUUAUUGCUUUUGAAGUUUAUAUAAAGGAGUUAUAAGGAGUUGAAGGCGGCGCUUUCAAAUCAAAGGCAAUAAGUGAGCGGUUUUGAUUAUAGUAAUUUUUGGAGCCAUAACUUGAGUUUUCGGACGAAUUUUUGGCUCAAACAUUUUGGAAAAUGUAAUAUUUUGUGUUAAAAAGCUAUAAAUAAAAAUUUCGUGGAAUUUGAGCUUAUAUUUUGUGAGAUAUGAAGAAAAUUGCACGCGGGUAUAUAAAAACAAAGGUUUGAAGCGGCUGUUAGGGUUUUCAAGAUAUCUCAAGAUCUGCAAUGAAUUUGCGGUUGAAAUGUUUUUUAGAAGUUAAUAAGAAUACAUCAAUACCUCACGUAAAAUUUGAGUUUGUUUGGACGGUCGGAUUAAGAGAUAUGAGGUGUUCAAGUUCAAGAAAUUUUUCACAUAAGAAUAUACAAGGUUUAAGAGAAUUUUAUCAUAUUUUGGGUGUUGUUGGUUACUUGAGGCUUGUGUAUUUGGUGUAAUUGCUCAAAAGAAAAAAUUUAUAUAUAAACUUAGGGCUUUCCUUAUUUUGAAGCUUAAUUGAAUGAUUAGUGACAGCAAGAAGCCCAGUGUUUUCUUGAGGUAAAUUCUCUCUAUCCCGACAAUGCUAUUGGAUUACUUGCAAAAAAAGAAAGGAGAAAGGAUAGGUUUAGUACUCAAAGAGUGGUACAAGUACCAAAGACUCCAAUACCUACUACAAGAUUGAAUGUGCCUAUUCUUCAACCUCCAUUAGCUACACCAAAGAAAGAAGAUAUGGAACUUGAGGAGAUUGUACAAGGGAUGUGAGAUCUUCAAAUCAAACUUGCAAGGCUUAAAGAAAAGACUUCUACAAUAAGUUCAAAGGCUACUUUUAAACAAGGGUAUGUACAAAGAUGUAUUUGGUGUGAUGAUGAUUCUCAUUCUCAAAAAGAUUGUGGUGAAUUUAAUGAAAUGGUACAACAAGGCAUUGUUUAUUGUAAAGAUGGGAAGGUUGCAUUGAAAGACACUAGUGAUUUUCUCCAAACCAACUUUGAUAAAGGAGGCAUGAAAGCAUUGGUUAAAGAUUAUUUGACAACACAUGGAAUUACGGCAAUAGAAGUUGUAAGUUAUGGAAUUAGGGUGGAUAAUGAUGGUAGACAGAGUUUUGUUGGAAAUGUUCAACCAAGUGGACUUUAGACUUCUGCUAUUUCUACAAUGCAAAAAGAGAAGAUACCACGGGAAGCUUUAUUAAGAACUGCUGCAAUAAUUUGUGGUACUACGGGUUGAGAGGAUCCUGUAGAAGCUUUAUCAGUACAUGCAUAUAUUGCUAAAAGCCAACAUGAAGCUUUAAUGGAAGAAAAGAGGAGAAGAAAUUUUGAUGAUUCAAGAGAAAGAAAUUCUUCUAAAAGACAAACUCAAGGAGAUAAGGCUCGUACAUCAACUUCACAAGAAUUACCCACAAAGGAUACUUCAAUAAUAUCGGAAGAAAAAACAAAGGAGAUAAAAGAUAAAAGUAAAUUGACAACUUAUAAACUACUCUCUAAUAUUGAAGCGGCAACAGAUUUAAAGGGAGUGCUUGAAGAACGUGUGCUCAAUGCUAAGAUUGAGUUUACAUUGAAAGAAAUUUUAGGAAUCGCCAAGAAAGAAUUCUAUGAUAUCAUUAUUGACAAUAUUAAACGAAAGAGGUAAAUAGCGAGAGAAGUUGGAUUAAAUCAUGCUAUUGAUGCAUACAUAUAUGAAGGUGAAGAAGAUGUAUUCGAUAAUUGUUACAAACAAUCAAUAAGUAAAGAAAGGAGUCAUAAUCAAAGGAUACGUUUUGAUGAUCACGGUAAUAAAGAUAGAGAUGUUUCAAAUCAUUAUACUUGAAAGCAUUGGGCUAGAGCAACUACAGAGGCAUUAGUGAAGAUUGGAGAUAUGGAUGAACCGGUUGUUGCUUUGAUUGACCAUAGUUCAGAGAUAAACCUUAUGUCUAAAAAUCUUUAUAUGAAGUAAAGGUGGCUAAUUGACAUGGAACAUGGAUGGGCACUAUGGUGUCGUAUUACGUGCUUUCCUGCUCGAGAACGCGCCGGGCGUCUAGCUGUAGAAGGUAGUAUGGAGAUUCGCCAAUAUUCAAGCAGUUUAUCGGUUAUUGACUGCUGGAAUAUAAACAACUGCAAGAAUACACCGUAAAUCUAUACGGAUGUCCUUUGACUGCUCGCCGAAGUCCCUUUUACCCCAACCGAUAGGUCUCUAGACAUUACAGAGAACCUCCAAUACCACUUUGUACUUACGAUCUUGUAUCCACUGACUGUCUUGUUAGAUUAACCCAAUAAAUUUCAUUCACUCCGCAUACUCAAUCCUAUAGACACCUCUUUAAUUUUUCAAUCACGGACGUAACUCGAUUUCACAAAACAGUCGAGAGUAAUCAAACCCACUUCAUUAAAAAUCCUGAUUCACCGUUACAACACUGACUUCAGCAUUGAUUGCCUCCAUCUUCCCAAAAAUCCUAUGAAAAAGAAAAGUCCAAUUCUCUGUCUUUCCUUCUCCGACCCGAAGCAUGAAGCUAGCUCUCCCCAAUCCUUCUCAAAAAAAAACCCCCCCAAAAAACUAUCCCCCUAACCUUAUCCUCUGAAUUUCUUCAAUCUUCCGUCUUAGAUCCGAAAUUGGCUCCCGCUGUCAAAGCUUUCGAAAUGGCACAGAGAAUAGGAUACCCUGAAACAGAAUCGAAACCCCGUACUCGGGUGCACAUUGAGUCGUCCGACCAAUUUAGGUCUCAUAUUGGAUAAGAGGACCCGGAUUGGAUUCUCGAAAUUGGAUCGCAUUAGGUUGCCCGACCAAUUCAGGUCUCACAUUGGGUAAGAGGACCCGGAUUGGAUUCUCGAAAUUAGAUCGCAUUGGGUUGCCUGACCAAUUCAGGUCUCAUAUUGGGUAAGAGGACCCGGAUUGGAUUCUCAAAAUUGGAUCCAAUUGGCUCUUCGAACCAAGCUCACCCGUCGCUUGAAUUGGUCCUUUUCCUUCCUGGUGACUCCCGUUAUUGAAAUCGAAUGGAGCAUUUCUGUAUGCCCCGACUAACUGUAACGGGGUGACUGAACCUGGCCACUCAGUAUUUGCACUGGAGUUGGUCGUUGCUCCCAAUAUUCGAGGUAACUGAACAUUAAUAAAAUUCCCCUUUCUUUUUAUUUUCAUGGUAUACUUGUAUUACAAUACGACAACGGGUAGCCAAUAAUACAUAUAGGAAGUUAUAUGAUGCUUGCCCGAAUGUGAAAAUUUGGAUUGGUGAUGUUGCAAUAGAAUAGAAUUUUUUUUGUUCAAGAGGCAACAUCUUAUCGUCUUAUUUUGGGACAACCAUAUAUUAUUGCAACUGAAAUGGAAACAAAGAUACUUGAUGAUAGUUCAGCUUAUGCACGAAUUCAUAGUGAAGAUGGGAGGAGGGCAGUACAGUUUUUAACUAUGCCUCCAAAUCAUGAGCAGAAUCGAGACAAAUUGAGAAAAAAUCCAUUGCCGAGGAUUGUUGAAGAAUUCAAGGAUUUUUUGGAGGUACCACUAUAAAGCGAGAUUAUAGAGGUACAUAAAGAGAGGUACUCUCGCAAGAUGUAGGUAUCUUUAAUGGAGGAUUUAUUAACAUUUUUGAAAAUAGAAGCAUUAUGUAUAAGAAGAUUGAUGAUUUAAAAAGAAAAAUAAAAAAAAGGAAUUAAGUACUAUUGAAAAAAAAUUGUAUAGAUUAGAAAUAUUAAAAGAUAAUGAAAAGAUUGCUGGUAUUUAUGAAGAAAAUGGAUUGGAAGAUCUAUUGGAAUUGAUUGCGUCUAUUAGAUUAGGAAAUAAUGAUAAAGUUAUACCAAUUCAUUCAAGAGAAGUUUAUGAUAUGAUUGAAUCUUUUCAAGCACCGGAGGUUAUAGUUGAGACAAAAUAUAAGAUAGUAGAUAAGAAAGUUAAAUCGGUUGCCAGACCUUUGCCAGAAGAUUCUAAAGAACAAUAGAGAGAAGCAUCAAGAGAAAGGAGCUUGAGAUAUUUAAAGAAUAUUGGUCACAAGUUUACUAAAGAGACUUUUGAAGAAUUUAACAUUGGUUUUGAUGGUUCUUUAUUACCAGAGGAAAUUACUUGCUUCAAAGAGAUGUUGACAAAAUAAAGUAGAUCAUUUGCCUUUGAAUCUUAUGAAAUUGGAUGUGUGGAUCCAAAUAUUGUAACACCUAUGGUUAUUUUUACUCUACCACAUGUAUUUUGGAAUUUAAGGCCAAUUCCAGUACCAAGGACACAUUUAUCAAGCUUGGUGGAAUUAUUAAAAGAAAAAAUAAAGAUGAAGAUCUUGGAGCCCUCUUUUGCACCAUAUUCUAGUCGAUGGUUUACAGUGCCUAAGAAAAAUAGGUCAUUACGUUUUAUUCAAGAUAUACAAUCAAUGAAUGUAAUAACUAUCAGAAAUGUAAGAAUUGGGCCUAUAGUAGAUGAAUUUGUUGAGGCGUUUGCAUGAAGGGCAACCUAUUCAAUGGGUGAUUUGUAUUCGGGCUAUGACCAAUUUCAACUUGUAGAGGGAAGUAGAGAUAUGAUAAUGAUGAGGAUACCACUUGGAUUAAUUAGAAUGUAUACUCUUUCUCAAGGCGCAACCAACUCAGUUGCACAUAUGAUGAACGGGAUGAAUAAGAUAUUGAGAGAUUUUAUUCUGAAGAAGGCUAUGCCUUUUUAAGAUGAUGUUCUUAUAAAGGGGUGCAAAGAAGAAGACAAGGAUCAAACUUAAGAUAAGAAGGAGUGUCACAAAUAUGUUGCUAAUUAUAUAUAAGAUUGUAAAAAACUAUUGACUCAACUUGGAAAAGUUCAUCUUAUAUUAUCGGGUAUAAAAUCUAUAUUUGGAGUACAAGAGGUUGUGAUUGUUGGAUAUUUGUGUGGAUUUUAUGGAAGAAAACCAGAUCCAACUAAGGUUGAUGCGAUUGGGAGAAUGAAAGAGGAUUGUAGUUCUUUAAUAGAAGUUCACAGGUUUUUAGGUGCAUGUGUAUUUUAUCAUAUUUGAAUUCCUCAUUGUGCUCACAUAGCAGAUCCAUUGUAUGAACUAUUACGUAAAGGCUAUCGAUUCAAAUGGAAAGAAAAGCAUGUUAAAGUAGUGCAAAGGUUGAAGAAAUUAUUGCUAUCACCUCUAGUGUUGAAAAAUAUUGAUUAUAAGAGUAAUAGAUCAGUGAUUCUUACUGUGGAUACUAAUCCAAUUGCCAUUGGAUUGACUGUAGGUCAGGAUGACUCAAAUGGACACAUAUUUGCAGUACAAUUUGGAACUAAAGUUUUAAGUAUUUGCCAACGUAUAUAUUUACAGGUGAAAAGGAAACUAUGGGAAGUUGUUUUAGCUAUGAAAGCUGAAAAGGAUUAUUUGAUUGGAGCUAUGAUGGUAAUUGAAACAGAUUGUUUACCUUAACUUGGAAUGAUUACCAAUUGUACAAUAUCAGAUAUUAUAAUGUUGAGAUGGAUUGCUUAUAUCAAAUCACUAAAUCCAAAAUUUAGGCAUGUUGCGGAAAAAGACAAUCUGAUAGCAGAUAUGAUAUUUUGAGCAGUAUAUGAAAGAGAAGACAAGAUGGUUGAAGAUAUUGAUGAUGUUGGAAUAAAAUUCUAUUCAAUAUUAAAUCUUAAUAAAGAAGACAAGAUAUUUUUUGAAGAGCUUUGUAAAGGAGAAUUAUAAGAAAUUGGUCUUUAUUUGAAUACCUUGAUUAAACAAGAGAAUUGGUCAAAAGAAAAAUUUAAUCAAAUAAGAAAGAAGACUUAUGGAUUUUUGCUUCAAGAAGGAUUUUUAUGGAAAAGACCAAAGAAAGGAAUUCGAAUGCGAAGACGAGUAGUAGGUACUAAAGAAGAUCAACAAAGACUACUCAAAGAAUUUCAUGAGAGUCUAUCGGUGGAACAUAGAGGAAUUUGGACUACUUUUGCUAAAAUGAAGGAACGAUGUUGGUGGAAGAAUGUGUAUCAGGAUGUAACUUUAUUUGUAGAGUCUUGUGUGACUUGUCAAAUAUAUUCAAAUAUACGAUAUUGAAAUGGGUUGCAUCCGACAUAUCCUUUGGCUAUUCAUUUUAAAUGGGUUGUGGAUUUGGUUAUUAUAUCGAUGGAACUAUGGCAAAUGAGAUAUUUAGUUUUGGCUCGUGAAGAUUUAUCAAACCAAGUAAAAGGCAGGGCACUAGGAGCAAAGUCUACAAAGGGAAUUUGUAGGUUUAUACUUGAGAAAGUUAUUUGUUGCUAUGGAUGUGUAAAAAAAAUCACUGCAGAUCGAGGAGAAUUGGAUGCACAUGAAGCUCGUGAUUUUUUUAAGAGAUGUGGAAUCAAAUUAUCAUUGACUACUGCUUAUAAUCUAGAAGAGAAUACAAAGAGUGAUCGUGGGCAUCCAACAAUUAUAAAAGCCUUAGUUAAAGCUUGCAAUGGAAGAAUGAGAGAAUGGCCUUGACUUCUACCUUAUGCAUUAUGGACUGAUCGAACAACACAUAGUUCGGUGAUAGGAUAUAUUCCAGUGGAACUUAUGACAAGUCAAAAACCAAUUAUGUCGAUUGAAGAAAAUGUGCCAACUUGGAGUAUGCUACCAUGGGAAGAUGGGUUGAUAAGAGAAGAAUUAUUAGUCAUUAGAAUCCGGCAACUUGAACAAAGAUCAGAAGAUGUGGAACUAGCAUUAAAAAGGUUACAAAAGGCAAUGUUAGGAAAUAAGACUCGAUUUGACAAGCAACAUCGAUUGAGACCUAGAACAAUUGAAGAAGGUGAUUGGGUACUUGUUUAUGAUAGUAGUCUAGAUAACCAACAUAGUACUUUGUGGAAGUUUUUGAAACGUCGGUUUGGACCAUAUGUGAUAGUAACAGUUCAUGAUAAUGCCACAUAUUUAUUAAAGGAGUUAGAUGGUACGAGGUUAAAAAUACCUAUUGUUGAAAAGCGAGUGAAGAUUUUUAAAAGACGAGAUAGAGAAAUCAAUAUGGAGGAUCAUACUGAAGCUAUUGGCAUUUUUGAAGAAGACAAUUAUUUUGAAGAGGAUGGUGAAAAUAGAAAUGAAGAAUUUGAUGAAAAAAAUGAAGAGAUGGUGUGAUGCCAAUUAUGACAUAUGAUUCAUUUGGCAUAGGCCAGAGGAUGUGCAGGUUAAAAGGGGGUGGAUGUCGUGAUGUUAUACAUCUAUAUAGUGAAAUUAUACUCAAAUUGAAUUUAUAAUUAAUAUCUAAUUAUCUUAGUUUAAUUAUAAUUUGAGGCAUCUAAACAUGGCUUUUAUAAAAGCCUCUUAGGUUAUUUUCUUAUCUUAAUAAUUAGUAGGUUGAAGGUUAGUUAGUAAUUUUACCUUCUAGGUUAUAGAGACUCUUCUACUAUCUUAGAAAGACCAUAAAUUAAUGAAAUCAGGAUAGAAGAGGUAAAUAAUUAGUAUAGUUGGUACUAAGGUUAAGUUGAAAAUUGGGUUGGGCUAUAAUAUCCUUGGGAUAAGAUAGAUUGAUACUCGGGGGUUGACCAUUUGUGAGAUAGGAUCAAAAUGAGAUCUCUAGCCACUAGAAUAACGGCCUAGGACAAAAUAGGAUUUCAUUUGAAGUUCAAAGGUUAGGAUUUGAAAGCUAGCUUGAAGUUCUUUUCAAAGACAUAAGGAUUGUUUGAAGACGGUUUUGGAAGACUUAACAAUUAUUGUUCAAAGUUAGGGUUUGUAUCAAUGAUUUGGAUUUUAUAUAAUAUAAUUAGGACUAGCAAUUUUGGCUAGUUCGUUGAAUUGGAAUGACAUCUAUAGUUGAAAAUUUGAUAUUUUUUGGAUCAUUGGGUGUGCUAAGCAUAUUUAAAAUUUUGUGAUAAUCUAAUGGUGUGAUUUAGAGAUAUCUAGUUUUUAGCACAAGAGAGUUUUAGAAGGUGGUAGUUUGAGGUUGGAUAGGGUUUGUAUUAUAUUUAGAAAUCUAUCAAUGGAAUUAAGGUUAAAAUUGGCAUGAUAUUGGAAGAAUUAAAGAUCAAGCUACACACCAAUUUUGAGACAAAGUUAAUGGUUGGAGAAGGAGAAAUCAUUGCUGAAACUUUUGCUUUACUUUUCAAGUUGGCUGUUGAGUGACAUUGGUGCAAUUUUUGGAGGUUUUCAUAGAAUCCGUAAGUUGGAUUGGACUAAAUAUUCUGGAGCAUUUAAAAGACUUGCAUUGGUAAUUGUAUGAAAAAUUCUACAACAAGUGGACGGUCGGAUUGGAAGUUAUAGCUUAUUAAAGCUCACUGAUUAGGAUUGGGGUUUAUAAGAAAAAUCUAAAUUGCU
rnacentral:lncRNA from 1 species